UACGUAGGGGGCAAGCGUUGUCCGGAUUUAUUGGGCGUAAAGAGCGUGUAGGCGGCUAGGUAGGUCCGUUGUGAAAACUCGAGGCUCAACCUCGAGACGUCGAUGGAAACCAUCUAGCUAGAGUCCGGAAGAGGAGAGUGGAAUUCCUGGUGUAGCGGUGAAAUGCGCAGAUAUCAGGAAGAACACCCGUGGCGAAGGCGGCUCUCUGGUACGUGACUGACGCUGAGACGCGAAAGCGUGGGGAGCGAUCCGG
rnacentral:rRNA from 1 species